rnacentral:rRNA from 1 species
GAUCAUGGGCUCAGGAUGAACGCUGGCGGCGUGCUUAACACAUGCAAGUCGAACGAAGCACUUUAUUUGAUUUCCUUCGGGACUGAUUAUUUUGUGACUGAGUGGCGGACGGGUGAGUAACGCGUGGGUAACCUGCCUUGUACAGGGGGAUAACAGUUGGAAACGGCUGCUAAUACCGCAUAAGCGCACAGCAUCGCAUGAUGCAGUGUGAAAAACUCCGGUGGUAUAAGAUGGACCCG